GCCAAUCAGGUUGCCAGCUCUUGAGUUCAGCAGUCAAUGAAGAGACUGAUGCUGUUUCUGGAAGACAAUUCUAGGAGCCAAAGAGCCGAAUGUAAACUCCAUGCGGAAGUUAGCUGGCUGAAUGCACUGUGAUCAUUCACAAAGGGCACAAGAAGCACAAAGCUCGAGACAACUAGCAGUCCUGCUGAGAGAGGUGGGGCCUGCUGAGACAGGUAGGAAACUGAGAGAAUGUCUCAGCGUGGGGGCACUCGGUAAAGCUUUCUGAAAACUUGAAAAUAAAGAACAUCCAAGGACUACCAUACCACCACUGUGAAAGAUGAUUUCUGCUGGUAACAUUUAAAUUGGAACAGAUCAAAGAGGAACAAAACACAUACCACACCUUGAUCAUUUUGAUCAUGGACAAUAGCAACGUACAUAACUUCUGUUUAUGAUUAUAGUCAUUGUUAGAGUUAGAAAUGUUGUAGUGGAGGAAGCACAGGAACUAUAAUGUGCUGAGGAAGCUCUUAAAAGAAGCAAUGGUAUCAUCAGCAAAUAUUAUGAUGAAAAACAGACGUGAGUCAAGAAACUAGGAUAACGGCCUCCUCUUGAUCAAUCUAACGCUAUUUUUUUUUAUUAUCCCAAACAGGUUUAACAUCGCAUCAAACGUUACCAUGCCCAACAUUGUAGCACUCCUCCAUCCCUGCACUACAUAUUAAGAUAAAAUACAAAAAUCAAUCUCCAUAUUCAUCCAACAUGGAUACAAGAAUGCUACUAACUGAGUUCGGAAUUACUUCUUUAGGAAAACGGCCAUUAUAUUUUUUUGGUUGAUGUAUAACUUUAAAGUACAACAGCAAAAGCCAUUGCAGUAUAAAGCAGAAGUGUUUAAUAAACAUAAAAUAUUCAUCUUUAAAAAGUAAUACAAAUGGUAAAUGUCCAAGUGUCAAAGUUACAAUGAUAUGAAUGUAUAAACAAAUGAAGAAAGAACAACUAAAAAGUCAACAACAAUUGUUUCAGGUGUUUUUCAACUACAGUGAAGAUAAAUUACUGUCAGUGCUGAUACAUGUACAGUAGGUAUGAGAUUCCAUAAAGACUAAUUGGAAAUGUUAUUUGCAGGCUAGCAAAAUAUUGAUUGAAGCUGGUGUUGUAAAUGUAGAUUGAUUAGUGUUUACAGUACAAGACAGUUUUGAAACAAAAGAAAACUUUAAAAACAAGAAAAUGCAAACUGUUUCACUAAGAUUCCAUUUCUGCCUGUAUUAACAGUUAAUUACAUGACAGGCUCACAUUCUGUCAAUCUGGCACAUUUCGGAACAAAACAUUGGUGAUUCACAAAUUUAUAAAAGAAGGUGCUUUUUAUCAUUUUUAUUACUGCCAGGAAAGACUUUCAAUGCUGUGUGUGUUUUAAUGCUAGUGGUUUGUCUCUCUUGCAUGUAGAUACAUGUAUGUAGUAGAUAGGUCUAAACUAAAUAAACCAGUAGAAUUCUGCAAAAUUGCAGGUUAAAAGACCAUGCUCAUGGUAGUUAAAUGGGCAUUAUUUCAUAAUAAUUGUCUGGCUUUGCCUAAGGAUGUUGAUCAAAUUAACUUCAAUGUGAACAUACAAUCUGUCAGUGAAGCUUGUUAAGAACUCAAUAUGAUAUUGAGGUAUAGAUCUGUUUGUAAAUCUAAAUAAAGCCUCAUUGUGUAAUCUAGUCAUCGUGGUAGCAUUGGGUUCUUGCUAAAUUUUGAUGUAC